ACAUGAAUCACCUAAGGGUCUUGUUAAAAUUUAGAUUCUGAUACAAUAGGUCUGGGGCCCAAGGGUCUGCAUUUCUAACAGGCAUCCUAGGUGAUGCCACU
rnacentral:pre_miRNA from 1 species